GAAAUGCGAUAAGUAAUGUGAAUUGCAGAAUUCAGUGAAUCAUCGAAUCUUUGAACGCACAUUGCGCCCAUUAGUAUUCUAGUGGGCAUGCCUGUUCGAGCGUCAUUUCAACUAUCAAGCCCUAUUUGCUUGGCGUUGGGAGCUUGCCCUACCCUGUAGGACAACUCCUCAAAUAUAUCGGCGGAGUCGCGAAGACCCCAAGCGUAGUAAUUUUUUCUCGCUUCAGGUGUGUCGGCGCUGGCAUCCAGCCAUUAAACCCCCAACUUUUUAGUCUUGACCUCGGAUCAGGUAGGAAUACCCGCUGAACUUAA
rnacentral:misc_RNA from 1 species